GGAAGUCCAAGAUGAAAAGCUGUCCCGAAGCCACAGCCACCUGCGCUUAACUCGCAGUUUCGCCCCUUCCCAGCCCGCUCGCGUCGCGGGCGCCUCUGCUGCGCUCGGCGUCUUCCCGCUAGAAGGGAAGGGCCCGACUGGUGUCAACCGGGGGAGACAUCACUGCACAGGACCCCGCCUGCGCGGCGCAGGCGACACUGGCUCCCUCGGACGUGUGGGUUUUCUGCAAAGUGACCUUCUCCUGAACUUCAGAGGAAGAAAAGUGCUUCCACUUCGUAACAGCAGCGACCACACAGUAAGAAUCUAGCUAUUAUUAUGACUAUUAGUACCGUACAGUAGUUCCAAAGUCAUCAGGCGUGGAUGGAGAAGAAGCGUUGUGGGAAGGGCGGGGAGUGGAGGGAUAAAUAAGAGGAGAUUCCUGCUCUCAAGAACUCCCCGAAUAUCUGUCCUGAAGAAAGGAGACUCUUACGUGCAUGUUCGGACCGGCUCUCUUCCCUCGGUUCCCACCACCGCCAGGAAGAUCCUCUGGGACAGUUUCUCCGAGAGGCUUGAUCUUAGGUUACUCAGUUUCAGUGGGUGUCCCCCAAAGGGGGAAAUUCAAGACCCCAGGCCCAGGGCGAACUCGAGGCCCUCGCUUGUCUCCGGGAGCUUCCUCUUCAACGGUAUCAAGGCGAAGUUCCUCUAAAACAGCAUCUGACAUCCAGCUCCGCCCCAAGUCGGCGCCCAGCAGCCAGAGACCGUCGAGGAUGAAAGGUGGAGUUCAGCAAUCUCACUGCAAACCUUGUGGAAGUCAAAGCUGAGAUGCCUGGGAGCAGCUUCCGCACAUCCGUGACCCCUGUGACAGCUUCAUGGAACCGCAGAGCACAAGCUCCAGGUUUUCCUCUUGCUUGCUCAGUCCCCAAAGGUCUGAGGAAUGGUUUUAUAAAGGGAGACAGGAAAGGGUGGGGGAGGCUCAUUUUUAGGUGUGCAGGCUUCGAAUUUGCUUGAAUAAGCCCAGUGUGUUUCGUUUUGGCAUGUGAUCUUCUUCUUACGUUUGAAAACGACCAAAUAUCCUCCCUAAACAAGGGAACGUCUGCGUUCUCACCGUAGAAAAUGUAAGCUCCUUAUAUCUUGUUCUUUGUGGGGGGCGGGGAGGGAGGCGGAGCAGGAGAAUGAAAACAGACUGAAACCGUAAAGGGAAGAAAACAUGCUCCAGGUGAGGCUCGAACUCACAACCUCGGCAUCACCCGCACAUAUACUGCUGUAUAAGUACCGCGCGCUAACCGAUUGCGCCACUGGAGCAUGCUUUCCUUGCGGUCUCGGUGCGCACUCUACAGAGCCACGAGCGGCGGGCGCGCGCGCGAUCCCCGCGACACGCGGGAGCGAGAACGCACGGGCCUGCUCUAGACGCCCCCCCGCCCUUUCCCUUAUUCACCUUGGCAGCGGCUAGCCUGGCAGCGGCUAGCGGCUAGCCUGGCGUUGAUAGAGACGCUUCCAUCUAUCCCGGAGGCAUGUGUGCAAUCUUUCUUCUAUUCAACCGGGAAUCAGCAUUUCCCAGGGAUCCAGGGAUGCUCCUUUCAGAAGCCCCGAAAGAAGGCUGAGGAGAGAGGGCGAGCGGAUCCCGGCGCCUCCUCGCCUUGACUCCAAGAAAAGAACCGUUUCCGUGGGAGACACGACAUGGGCUGUCUGGGCGAGGUACGACAUCACCGAGCACCGCCUGGCUGGUCGGUGAUGCAUCCUACUAGAUCGAGGACGCCGAGAAGCAGAAACAGCCCAGCCCUAGCUUGGCCGCUUCUCCCAGCACCCGCUGCGCUCCGGGCGGUUCUACCCACCUCGCUAUCCCGCACCUCCAGGCUGCGCACCCUGGUUCCUCCAAAUCCUCCCCGCGCCUGCCUGAAAACCGUAUUUGAAGUCAUAACUGCUCUUUCGGAAAAACAGCAAAAGGAAUCACUCCUUUGUGCCGCGAGUUACAUCAAGGCGGUGUCCAUCACCCCCACUGCCACCCUUCUCCACCUGGUUUGACCUUUAGAGGUUUAUUGCAGAUGGUUUUCCUCUGAGACAAAAUGCCCACCUAGUAUCCUCACUUCCUGCCACGUUUCGUUUGUUUGCUUGCUUGCUUGUUUUUGGCGUGGGGAAAUCGCAGCUGUCACAUAUACACCAGAUAUGAAGCUUUUGGGCUUUUCGGAAUAAUACCUGUCGGUGAGAAGGAGAGUUGUGUAAAGAACAGAAUAAUCUGACCACAUAGUACCUAACAAAUAGUACUGAGAGUAAUAGACCAGUGACCAAGUUUCUCCAUACAGACACAUGAAGGGGUAUGUGUGGAGAACUGUUUCCACAUCUCUGUGUCUACUACAUUGCUGUAUAGGGAUUAUUGCAUGUGCUUUAAAUACACCUUAAAGUGAGAAGCAGUGAGAAGACACAGGCUCUAUAGUAAUGACCAUCUCACCACAUCAUCUCUUCCUACAUUGGCACCACACCUUCCUAGAGAGGGAUGGAGCUCUCCCUGAACAGCUAGAGGUUAUUCAAUUUAAAUAACAAUAGCAUUGCAGCACUAUUCGCAAUAGCCAAGACAUGGAAACAACCUAAAUGCCCAUCGACAAAUGAAUGGGUUAGGAAGAUGUGAUACCUAUAUAUAUAAUGGAAUAGUACUCAGCCAUAAAAAGGACAAAAUAACGCCAUUUGCAGCAACAUGGGUGGAAGUAGAGACUCUCAUACUGAGUGAAGAAAGUCAGAAAGAGAAAGACACCAUAUGAUACCACUUAUAUGUGGAGUCUAAAAUAUGACACAAAUGAUCUGGAAUGAUCAUGGACAUGUAGGACAGACUAGUGUUUGCUGGGGGGGAAGGGGAGGCAGUGGGAUGCAUUGGGAAUCUGAGCUUAGUAGAUAAAAAGUUUUGCAUUUGGAGUGGAGAGAUCCUGCUGUAUAGCACAGGGAACUAUAUAUCUAAUCACUUGUGAUGGAACGUUAUGAAGGAUAAUGUGAGAAAAAGAAUGUAUGUAUAUAUAUGUAUAUUACUGGGUCACUUUGUUAUACAGCAGAAAUUGACAGCACAUUGUGAGUCAAUCAUAAUAAAAAAUUAAAAUAAAUAAAUAAAUAACAAUAGCAGCCACACAUUGGAUGGAGCUUAUCAUGGGCCUGACACUGUUCUAAGCGAUUUAUUUAAACUUCAAAAUAGCACUCAUGGAGCUAUGUUCCAAGUCUGGAUGUAGAUAAGAAGAACCAGUAUCUAGGGAAUUAUUUUUCUUAAAGAGAUGAAAGUUUCUGAGACUCAUAGCAUGCCACUGGUUAUUAAACCAGCUUUCACAACAUAGGCAUUAUAAGCAUAAAAUAAUGCUCACGGAGAAAAAUGUAGAUAGAAAACUAAGUGUUUUGAAUUGUUAAUGUUAAAAAAAAAAACGAAAACAAAAACUUCUGAUCUCUGCCUACUCUUCCAUGGAAAGCUGGCCUGUAUGGACUAUAACAUGGACUCCCCUGCCCUGUGACUUCAACUUGAAUUUAAUUUGUGGGAGCACUAGCAGGAAACCAGAAUGAGAGAGGGCAGAGAGGUUGGAGUAUUCAUUUCUCUGAAUCACUUUCUCUGAAUCAUUUGGUCUAGUUCAUCAAGGUAGACUUUUCCUCCAAGUUCCAGUAACGGCUCCUUUUCUCUCUCUUUCGGUACUAAGGGUGGUACCAUCCUGAUGUCAGCAGCCCUCUUCUUUGCCCUCCCCUAACCUGCCCACACCUGUAUUAAAGAGCCUCCUUAUGAAAUCCUCCUAAAAUUAUCCCAAUGUGAACACGCUGUCUUUUCUUUCCUGAGAUACUGAUUGAUAGAAAUGUGAUACAAUUGACAACAUUGUUAUGAAUGACAUGAAGUAAUUUUGAGGAUAGUACGUAAAGUUAUGUUUUGAAUAUGGGAGUGAAAUAAUUGAAAUAAACAUAUUUGUGUAAUUGAGGGUGUUCAGAACAUGCUACCCC
rnacentral:tRNA from 1 species